rnacentral:rRNA from 1 species
UACGUAGGGUGCAAGCGUUGUCCGGAAUUAUUGGGCGUAAAGAGCUUGUAGGCGGUUUGUCGCGUCUGCUGUGAAAUUUCGGGGCUCAACCCCGAACUUGCAGUGGGUACGGGCAGACUAGAGUGUGGUAGGGGAGACUGGAAUUCCUGGUGUAGCGGUGAAAUGCGCAGAGUAUCAGGAGGAACACCGAUGGCGAAGGCAGGUCUCUGGGCCAUAACUGACGCUGAGAAGCGAAAGCAUGGGGAGCGAACAGG